UUUGGGUCUGUCCCGGGUGGACGACGCCGUGGCUGCCAAGCACCCGGUAGGCUGCGUCCAGGUGUCCUGCGGCUGGGAGAGAACGCACCCUCCUGCCCUGCCCUGGCUCCCCAGCAGGGGGCGCCAAGUCACCUGCCCGCAGGUGCUGGGGGCCUGGCAAGGUGGGCCCUGGCCAUCCCCGGGUACAGGUUGAUGGGGACCUCGGCUCUUUGCAGGCACUGGCAUGGCCUUUGGCUUGCAGAUGUUCAUUCAGAGGAAGUUUCCAUACCCUUUGCAGUGGAGCCUCCUAGUGGCCGUGGUUGCAGGCUCUGUGGUCAGCUACGGGGUGACGAGAGUGGAGUCGGAGAAAUGCAACAACCUCUGGCUCUUCCUGGAGACCGGGCAGCUCCCCAAAGACAGGAGCACAGAUCAGAGAAGCUAGGAGAGCUCCAGCAGGGGCACAGAGGAUUGGGGGCAGGAGGAGUCUGGAACACAGCCUUCAUGCCCCCUGA
rnacentral:sRNA from 1 species